rnacentral:rRNA from 1 species
AUCGAACGCUGGCGGCAUGCCUAACACAUGCAAGUCGAACGGCAGCACAGUGUGUAGCAAUACACAUGGGUGGCGAGUGGCGGACGGGUGCGCAAUGUGCAGGGAUCUGCCCUGAAGUGGGGGACAACCCGGGGAAACUCGGGCUAAUACCGCAUAAUACUCUACGGAGGAAAUCUGGCUGCGCAAGUAGCUGGGGCUUUAGGAUGAACCUACAUCCGAUUAGCUAGUUGGUGAGGUAAUGGCUCACCAAGGCGAUGAUCGGUAGCUGGUCUGAGAGGAGGACCAGCCACACUGGGACUGAGACACGGCCCAGACUCCUACGGGAGGCAGCAGUGGGGAAUAUUGGACAAUGGGGGAAACCCUGAUCCAGCAAUGCCGCGUGGGUGAAGAAGGCCUUCGGGUUGUAAAGCCCUUUAGGCGGGGAAGAAGGUUAUAGGGCGAUAAACCUUAUAAUUUGACGGCACCCGCAGAAUAAGCACCGGCUAAUUCUGUGCCAGCCGCCGCCGUAA